GUGCCCACAGGACAGAGCUGCCCUUGUGGGGGUAGGCCGGGGUGCCACCCGCCCCUCUGUUGUGAGCCAGAGCUCUCAAUGGGCCACUUCUGCAGGCUCAGCAAUCCCUCUCAGCCCCAGCCUGGGAGCAGCCCCCACCCCCUCCGUGCCCUCCACUCCCCAGUGCCCUGGGCUGAUUGGAGGAAAGGAAAAAAACAAAACAAAACAAAGCCUUGGCCAGAUUUCAGGCCUCCAUGCUGUUUGAUGCCGAAUAACCCCGAAAACAGGCUCAAGUCAAAUUCCCUCUCCCGUCUCUGCAGGGUGUGCGAGGGGAGGGAUGGCUCUGUGCCUUUCGUCCCUGCCCUGCACCCAGUUGUCUCCUCCUUGUGACCACAGAACUCCCAGCGCUGAGUUCUGUCGUUGCAGAAAGGCAGAAAGUGGGCAGAAAGAAGCCUGGUGCUGGUGCCGAGGGGGCCGGGCCACUGGCACUGGCGCACUCCUAGGAGCAGGGCGACUCUCUCCAGACUCCUUACCAGUGCCCAGCAGGCCAGAGGGCCUGGGAGACUUCGGAGGGUGCAGAGGAAAAACACUGCUGGCCAGUAGAGCAACAGAGAAGGCUCCUAGGGAAACCAUGGUCAGGUCUGCCUGCCUGGAAUGCUGAGCCCUGAUUCUGGAUGUUGGAGAGCCCUCAUCUAGUCCAGGGACACAGAUGUCCUUCAUGUCCUCUGGCCCAGCCCUUCGUGCUGAUGGGCUGAGGAUGCCUGAACGCACUCUCUGGAAUGAGAUUUAAAUACCAUCCCCUGCAUGAUCUUACAGAAAAAUGGAUCAUGCAGAGACACUACAGUGAGUUCUGGUGCCAAAUUAGGAAAGAUCUGGGGAAGAUCUGGCCUCCAGGUGGCCAGGGCUGAGGGAAGCGUCCCCGUGGGCUUAGCAUCCUCUUCUCUGGGCCAGUGUUUUUCCGUUCCUUGUGGUCUGAUCUGGAGUGAAAUGCCCAUCACUUGUUCUAGACCUCUGGUUAUUGACCAUAGAGAAAUCUUCGUCUAUGCUUGCUCACCCCGGGACUGGCAACUCCACGAAUGCUGUGGCGCUCACGGAUCACAUGGCUGCUUGGGUCACUGAUUGCACAGGAGCACUGCUGCUGACCAAUCACAUGGGAACACUGCCUGGCUCACUGAUCAUGCAUUUCUGUGAUGGUGCUGGAGCUGCAUUUCCUCAGUGAGAAUCAGGAUUCAUCAAUCCUGGCAGCUCUGUUCUCUGCAUGCUGGUUGCUGGGAAGAGUUUUAAAGUCUCUUUGGUGGAAAGAGUCUCCUCCUGAUCAGAGUCCAAACUGAAAAUGGAUCCUCCAUUUGCAACACAGUAACACUUCCAGUGAAGUAUCAUCAAACAUCUCCCAAGCAACAGCAGCCUGGAACAUUAUUGUUUAACCCCUUCUUGCCUGAUACUGUGUUGGUUUCACUUACAGAAGGAUCUCUGUGGUGAGGCAGGAGCAAGUCAGCACAAAGAGAACUAUAAAUAUCUUGAUAGAGACAGUUGCAUGAAAUCCAACUGGAUGGGGAAAACAGAUGUAGACAAACAGCUGUAUAAGUGCACAGGCUUGAACCUACUGAAUUACUAAGAUGAUAUAAAAGGUAAUAUUAAAGAAAAAGUUACCCAUAGUUCUUUUAUCUUUUGCAACAAUUUUUAUUUUCUGUAGUCCCUUUAGUCUUCUUGUCUACAUAAAACGCACUUUUUUAUGUAGCUGCUAUCAUAUCACAUAUACUAUUCACAGUCUGUGUUUUCACUUAAUAUUAUAAGCACUUGCCAUAUUGCUCCAAUCUUUCUUUUAUGGCUGCAGAAAUGCCAUUGUGGUGAUUCACAAUACACUGCUUGCUUUUACCUAUUGUUGCAAUUUUAUGUCUCCAGCUGCUUAGCGUUAUGGAUAAUUUGGUAAAAAAAUCUUAGGAUACUUAGCUUUGUGCUUUUGUUGAUUUCCCUCAGAGCAAAUUCAAGGAAGGAGAUGACUU
rnacentral:lncRNA from 9 species